GAUGAAGAACGUAGCGAAAUGCGAUACGUAAUGUGAAUUGCAAAUUCAGUGAAUCAUCGAGUCUUUGAACGCACAUUGCGCCCCCUGGUAUUCCGGGGGGCAUGCCUGUCCGAGCGUCAUUGCUGCCCUCAAGCACGGCUUGUGUGUUGGGCCCCGUCCUCCGAUCCCGGGGGACGAGCCCGAAAGGCAGCGGCGGCACCGCGUCCGGUCCUCGAGCGUAUGGGGCUUUGUCACCCGCUCUGUAGGCCCGGCCGGCGCUUGCCGAUCAACCCAAAUUUUUAUCCAGGUUGACCUCGGAUCAGGUAGGGAUACCCGCUGAACUUAAGCAUAUCAAUAAGCGGAGGA
rnacentral:misc_RNA from 1 species